UGAGUCCGAGUCGCUACGGCGACGAAGUGAACAGCGUCAUACUUCCUAGAAAAGCCCGAAACACCUUAAACUUUUAAUGCCUGUACCCCAAACCGACACAGGUGGGGAAGUAGAGUAUACUAAGGGGCGCGAGAUAACUCUCUCUAAGGAACUCGGCAAAAUGACCCCGUAACUUCGGGAGAAGGGGUACCCUCGCAAGAGGGUCGCAGUGAAUAGAUCCAGGCGACUGUUUACCAAAAACACAGGUCUCCGCUAACUCGCAAGAGGAUGUAUGGGGGCUGACGCCUGCCCAGUGCCGGAAGGUUAAGGAAGUUGGUCAGCGUAAGCGAAGCUAGCGACUGAAGCCCCGGUGAACGGCGGCCGUAACUAUAACGGUCCUAAGGUAGCGAAAUUCCUUGUCGGGUAAGUUCCGACCCGCACGAAAGGCGUAACGAUCUGGAUGCUGUCUCGGAGAGAGACUCGGCGAAAUAGGAUUGUCUGUGAAGAUACGGACUACCUGCACUUGGACAGAAAGACCCUAUGAAGCUUUACUGUAGCCUGGCAUUGUGUUCGGGCUUCGCUUGCGCAGGAUAGGUGGGAGGCUGUGAAACGGGAGCGCCAGCUCUCGUUGAGCCAACGUUGAAAUACCACCCUGGACAUGCUUUAGUUCUAACCUUGUUCCGUGAAUCCGGACAAGGGACAGUUUCAGUUGGGCAGUUUGACUGGGGCGGUCUCCUCCAAAAAAGUAACGGAGGAGUACAAAGGUGCACUCAGCCUGGUUGGCAAUCAGGCAAAGAGCGUAAAGGUAGAAGUGCGCUUAACUGCGAGACUUAUCAGUCGAGCAGAUGCGAAAGCAGGUCUUAGUGAUCCUGUGGUUCCGAAUGGAAGGGCCAUAGCUCAUCAGAUAAAAGGUACUCCGGGGAUAACAGGCUUAUCGCGUCCGAGCGUCCACAGCGGCGACGCGGUUUGGCACCUCGAUGUCGGCUCAUCACAUCCUGGGGGUGAAGAAGCUCCCAAGGGUUUGGCUGUUCGCCAACGAAAGUGGUACGUGAGCUGGGUUCAGACCGUCGUGAGACAGGUCGGUCCCUAUCUGCCGUGGGCGUACGAAACUUGAGGGGAUUCUUCUUUAGUACGGGAGGAUUUAGAAGGACGUAGCUCUGGUGUCCCAGCUGUCACGCUAGUGGCACGGCUGGAUAGCUAACUAUGGAACGGAUAAACGCUGAAAGCAUCUAAGCGUGAAGCCUUCCCCGAGAUUAGGUUUCGUUAGUGCGAUAGCACGAAAGUCCCCUGGUAGACCACCAGGUUGAUAGGCCAGAUGUGUAAGCGCGGCAACGCGUUCAGCUAACUGGUACUAAUGGACGAAAGCUUGACCUC
rnacentral:rRNA from 1 species